rnacentral:rRNA from 1 species
AUGUUGCAGACCUCUCUGGUGUCGUACUCUUCUUGCGCGGACGGUGUUUGUGGAAGACAACAUAGGAUGGGAGAUAAGGGGGGGUGGAGUUAUAUGGCUCCUUUCUCCCCUCGUGUUGGAGACAAUUCAUCCUUGAUGCCUACCUCCCAUCCUAUGUUGUCUUCCACUGAGGACGAGUCCAUUGCCGUGCUUGUGGCUUCGGUGCUGCAGGUCAUGCCCGAUCUUAGGGAGCUAUGCCUGAGUUUGUCAGUGGAGCAUAUGAAGGUGGACACACCGACGACCUCGGGUGAGGGACAAGAUUCACCUUUGUCAAGUGAGCAGCUGGAGGUUCCUAUGGUUGAUGAUGCGAAAGGGAAGGCGUCCGCUAUAUCAUGA